rnacentral:misc_RNA from 1 species
GAUGAAGAACGCAGUGAAAUGCGAUAAGUAAUGUGAAUUGCAGAAUUCAGUGAAUCAUCGAAUCUUUGAACGCAUCUUGCGCUCCUUGGUAUUCUGAGGAGCAUACCUGUUUGAGUGUCAUUAAAUUCUCAACUACACUGACUUUGAAUUGGUGUGGCUUGGAUUUGGGGGGAAAAUUGUUGUGGGCUUUUUGUAUAGUCUGCUCCCCUGAAAUUGAUUAGCGGUACCUUUGUGGAACUGUCUACAGGUGUGAUAAUUAUCUACAUCUUAGACAUCUGCUGGAAUGCUGCUUUCUAAACCUUACUUGUAUUGACAAUCUUGACCUCAAAUCAGGUAGGACUACCCGCUGAACUUAAGCAUAUCAAUAAGCGGAGGA